GGGCGUUAAGUUGCAGGGUAUAGACCCGAAACCCGGUGAUCUAGCCAUGGGCAGGUUGAAGGUUGGGUAACACUAACUGGAGGACCGAACCGACUAAUGUUGAAAAAUUAGCGGAUGACUUGUGGCUGGGGGUGAAAGGCCAAUCAAACCGGGAGAUAGCUGGUUCUCCCCGAAAGCUAUUUAGGUAGCGCCUCGUGAAUUCAUCUCCGGGGGUAGAGCACUGUUUCGGCAAGGGGGUCAUCCCGACUUACCAACCCGAUGCAAACUGCGAAUACCGGAGAAUGUUAUCACGGGAGACACACGGCGGGUGCUAACGUCCGUCGUGAAGAGGGAAACAACCCAGACCGCCAGCUAAGGUCCCAAAGUCAUGGUUAAGUGGGAAACGAUGUGGGAAGGCCCAGACAGCCAGGAUGUUGGCUUAGAAGCAGCCAUCAUUUAAAGAAAGCGUAAUAGCUCACUGGUCGAGUCGGCCUGCGCGGAAGAUGUAACGGGGCUAAACCAUGCAC
rnacentral:rRNA from 1 species